UUUAGUGAUUAGGGUUUUGGUUUUAGUAUUUAGUAGGUGAGGGGUAUGGUUGAGGUCAACAUUAACUUAUUCCAUGCAAUCAUAUAUGUUUUAUAAUUUCACCAAUAUAUAUGUACUAUGCUAUGUAUUUUGUUCCAUUCUAUUUGGUUUUAGGGUUUAUAUUUGGGUUUAUGGUUUAGUGAUUAGGAUUUUGGAUUUAGUAUUUAAUAGGUGAGGGGUAUGGUUGGGAUCAACAUUAACUUAUUCCAUGAAAUCAUAUAUGUUUCAUAAUUUCACUAAUAUGUACUAUGCUAUGUAUUUUCUUCCAUUCUAUUUGGGUUUAGGAUUUAUACUUGGGUUUAUAAUUUAUAUUUGGGUUUAGAGUUUAAUAAUUAGAGUUUAGUUAUUAGGGUUUAGAGUUUCGUAUUUAUGAAUUGGGGUAGUGUUUAGUAUUUAAGGAUUGUGGAUGUUGUUGCGUCCUCUUAUACUAUUUCGGUGACAUGGAAUAGAACACUACGUGCAUAUGUAUAUUACCGUAUAUUAUUAUUUUUAGAUGUUGGGGUUCGGGUAAUGUUUAGUACUUAGGUGUUGCAUAGUGAUUGAGAUUUAGGAUUCAGUAUAUAGGGGUUGAGAUAAUGUUUAGUAUUUAAGGUUAUGAGUGGAGUUAUAAUUUUAUACUAUUUCAGCGAUAUGGAAUAGAACAUUCGGUGUAUAUAUGUGGUUAAUGAACAUGUGACGUGGAUGUUUGAUAUGUGAUUAUAAACACGGUACAAAAAUAAUGACGUCGCCUACUUUCUCACUUGCAACUGGAAACCUGUUAUAAAAAGGACAGAACCGGAUGAAAUGUGUUCAAAGAGUCUGAUAUUGAAUUAUGUCAAAAUCAAUACUACUCAGCUAAUUUAUCACUCAAAUAUGGUUAUUUGGCCAAUAAGCCAUAUACAAAACAUUCUAAGAUACCUGUUCAAUAUGUAUUCAUCAUCAGUUGGAUAUAUAAUAUGUUGAAUAUCCAAUUUACUAUCAUUGUAACUUUGGAUUUUUGCUCUCACCUCAUUGACAUAGUUUUAACUUUUACAUACGCCAUACAAAAGGGCUAUAGCUCCUUCGCUUCUUCAGUAUUUGAG
rnacentral:lncRNA from 1 species